rnacentral:rRNA from 1 species
UACAGGGGGUGCAAACGUUGCUCGGAAUCAUUGGGCGUAAAGCGCACGUAGGCGGUCCGUUAUGUCGGAUGUGAAAGCCCUCGGCUCAACUGAGGAAGUGCAUCCGAAACUGGCAGGCUAGAGUACUAAAGAGGGUCGCGGAAUUCCCGGUGUAGAGGUGAAAUUCGUAGAUAUCGGGAGGAACACCGGUGGCGAAGGCGGCGACCUGGGUAGAUACUGACGCUGAGGUGCGAAAGCGUGGGGAGCAAACAGG